UAAGGAAUAUUGGGCAAUGGACGCAAGUCUGACCCAGCCAUGCCGCGUGCAGGAUGAAGGCCCUUUGGGUUGUAAACUGCUUUUAUCUGGGAAGAAAUCUUCUGUUUCUACGGAAGUUGACGGUACCAGAGGAAUAAGCACCGGCUAACUCCGUGCCAGCAGCCGCGGUAAUACGGAGGGUGCAAGCGUUAUCCGGAUUCACUGGGUUUAAAGGGUGCGUAGGCGGGUUUUUAAGUCAGCGGUGAAAGCUCCGAGCUCAACUCGGAAAUUGCCGUUGAUACUAUUAAUCUUGAAUUUAGUUGAGGUGGGCGGAAUGUGUAGUGUAGCGGUGAAAUGCUUAGAUAUUACACAGAACACCUAUUGCGAAGGCAGCUCGCUAAACUAAUAUUGACGCUGAGGCACGAAAGCGUGGGGAUCAAACAGG
rnacentral:rRNA from 1 species